rnacentral:lncRNA from 1 species
UUCAUUCCAAACAAACAUUUUAACGUAUACAUUACCUCGUGGAUGUAUAAUGGAAAAUUGAAACCUCUGUUUAUUUAUAAGCCUUUUCAAAUGCAAACAUAUAAUUGUGCGUGGUACUAUGUAGUGUAUUUAUGGUGCGUGCUGCAUUUAUGACCUUGUUUUGUUUUCACCAAAAUAUGAAUAAAUAAAUUAUGACUUCUGUUUUCCUCGAG